UACGAAGGGGGCUAGCGUUGCUCGGAAUCACUGGGCGUAAAGCGCACGUAGGCGGAUUGCUAAGUCAGGGGUGAAAUCCUGGAGCUCAACUCCAGAACUGCCUUUGAUACUGGCGACCUUGAGUCCGGGAGAGGUGAGUGGAACUGCGAGUGUAGAGGUGAAAUUCGUAGAUAUUCGCAAGAACACCAGUGGCGAAGGCGGCUCACUGGCCCGGUACUGACGCUGAGGUGCGAAAGCGUGGGGAGCGAUCCGG
rnacentral:rRNA from 1 species